CCUACGGGAGGCAGCAGUGGGGAAUAUUGCACAAUGGGCGAAAGCCUGAUGCAGCAACGCCGCGUGAGCGAUGAAGGUCUUCGGAUCGUAAAGCUCUGUCCUCAAGGAAGAAUUUUGACGGUACUUGAGGAGGAAGCCCCGGCUAACUACGUGCCAGCAGCCGCGGUAAUACGUAGGGGGCUAGCGUUAUCCGGAAUUAUUGGGCGUAAAGGGUGCGUAGGCGGUCCUACAAGUCAGAGGUGAAAGGCUACGGCUCAACCGUAGUAAGCCUUUGAAACUGUAGGACUUGAGUGCAGGAGAGGAGAGUGGAAUUCCCAGUGUAGCGGUGAAAUGCGUAGAUAUUGGGAGGAACACCAGUUGCGAAGGCGGCUCUCUGGACUGUAACUGACGCUGAGGCACGAAAGCGUGGGGAGCGAACAGGAUUAGAUACCCUGGUAGUCCACGCCGUAAACGAUGAGUACUAGGUGUCGGGGGUUACCCCCCUCGGUGCCGCAGCUAACGCAUUAAGUACUCCGCCUGGGAAGUACGCUCGCAAGGGUGAAACUCAAAUGAAUUGACGGAAUCACUAGU
rnacentral:rRNA from 1 species